ACGUAAUACAGUUAUUGUUAUGGAAAAGACCAAACUUGAAUAUAUUAGGCUUAUGUGUCAAAUGAAAAUGACUGGAGCAAUUUGUAAGCAGUAAGUAAAUUUUCCAAAAUUAAGUAGAAAGAUAUUGUUUGUUUUAACUAUUUGUUUAAUUACGUUUUCACGUUCUACGUUAUUUUUAUAUUUUAAAUCUUCCUAACUACAGGUCUAUUCUUGGAAGGAUUUUAUGAUAUUAUGCUUAAACGACCAAUUUUCAUAUUUAAUGAACAAGAACUUGAACUAUUGAUCGGUAGCUUGCUUACUGUAAAUAUCUUAAAGGAGGAUCUUAAAGCAAAUAUUGAGUAUCAUAAAUACACUGCUACAUCUUUAUAGAUUCAAUGGUUCUGGUGCAUUGCGAGGUUUUAAUCAAGCGGAUUGUUCGAAGUUCUUACAAUUUAUCACUGUUUCAAUCAACUGGAUUUGCCAGUGUACGAGACGUUUGAUAAACUCUGAACAAAUCUACUCAAGGCGACUUACGAAUGCACCAAAGAAUUUGGAUUUGCCCAGUGAUAACAUUCCGGACGUGCAAUGGCCUAUUGCUUGCAAAAUUUUUAACGUACUUACAAAAAUUGUUAUACGCAAUGCUAUAUGUAAGACUAUCUUGUGAACGUAGCGAAUCACAGUGCUCUAAUUGCUACAAUAUGUAUUAUUACACUUAUACGACUUUAUAAAUACGAAAUAUAUAUUUUCAUUUUAUCAUACACAUUAACUCUCAUGUAAUUAAUGGACAAUAAUUUAUUCGUUAAUAUAUACGCUAAUAAAAACGCUGAUUUUAAAA